rnacentral:lncRNA from 1 species
AUGGCUGAUGAAGAGUCCUACAUGUCUGAGACUCUGUGAUCGAGAAUCAAGAUUCUCUGAUCAUGAGUACCACACAUUUUGGAUACCGGGGUCAGGAGUCCCAUUGGUUUGGGAUUUUUUGAUCAGGGUUUCAUAUCGAUGGACUCUGAUGUCCGAUUGCCCAUCGAAUUUGGACUCAAUAUUUGUGAGAGAUUUAAUUAGUAA